GAUGAACGCUGGCGGCGUGCCUAAUACAUGCAAGUCGAGCGAACGGACGAGAAGCUUGCUUUUCUGAUGUUAGCGGCGGACGGGUGAGUAACACGUGGAUAACCUACCUAUAAGACUGGGAUAACUUCGGGAAACCGGAGCUAAUACCGGAUAAUAUUUUGAACCGCAUGGUUCAAAAGUGAAAGACGGUCUUGCUGUCACUUAUAGAUGGAUCGGCGCUGCAUUAGCUAGUUGGUAAGGUAACGGCUUACCAAGGCAACGAUGCAUAGCCGACCUGAGAGGGUGAUCGGCCACACUGGAACUGAGACACGGUCCAGACUCCUACGGGAGGCAGCAGUAGGGAAUCUUCCGCAAUGGGCGAAAGCCUGACGGAGCAACGCCGCGUGAGUGAUGAAGGUCUUCGGAUCGUAAAACUCUGUUAUUAGGGAAGAACAUAUGUGUAAGUAACUGUGCACAUCUUGACGGUACCUAAUCAGAAAGCCACGGCUAACUACGU
rnacentral:rRNA from 1 species